CACACCUCCCUCCGUCCACCCUCCUCUGCCAUUCGUUCCUAUUGUCGGAGAUCACCUGAGCCGCCCCCACCUCCUUCGCCGCCCUACUUGUCUCUCGUCAUCGGUGCUCGCCCCCGCCACCUCCACCCCCAACCGGGGGUCCACAUCUGCACGGCUUUGACGGUGCCUCGCUGCCUCCGCUCACCCGCUAUCUCGACUACCACCACCAUCGCCGACUGGUGAGCCACCCGGAGCUCCUACACCCGGAGGCUACAGGUAACCCCCACCCCCGAACCCAACCCCGAGCCCAAACUUCCCAGAGCUGAAGAAAAAGUUGCUACCGGAGCUCAAGGAGGUGUUGUGGCAGAUGCCUUGGAUCAAAGAAAUACAAUGCAAGGUACGCAUUAAUGUUUAAAAGGAGAGAAUGUUUUGUCAUCGUUAAACACCUAUAUGAAAGUUAAUCCCAUCCAAUAUAAAUGUUUUACAGGUGUCUCAAAGCUAAAAGUAUCACUAACAAUCUUAUAGACACAUUCUCAUGAUUAAUAUGAUCUUUUCUACCCUAAGUGUGAUGUCUGCACCAGUUGAACCCGGUCGAACUGGGAUGGGGGCUUUGUGAGCUUUCCACGCUAUGCCCUGGGAACAAUAUGCGUCAUGGCUGCACAGUAACAGCUAAUUUUGUUGGGUUCGGUAUGUGACCUCUAACUCCUUUCUUCAACCACUCCGGUUAAACUUGGAUGGGUGUUUUGAUUCCUCUGAUGCGUGCGUAGCAAGUUCUAAAGAAAAUUGUGCACGUGCUCUAAGUUUAGUGAAGAAAUAUUGUUUUCUCAAUCUCAUGCAAACAUAUUUUAGACAUUGGUGGACAGAUGAUUUAUAUGUCUGUACGUUGAAAGAAAAUUGUAAGGAAAAUUGGGCUUGAGAAAGGUAACCAUUUGAUAAUUUAAGAGAUUAUAUAAAAUGUGUUAUUUAGUGAUUUUGGGAUCAAAAUUCAUAGCUUGACCUAACUAUCACAAUAUACACUAAUCACACCUUGUAAGUUAAUUAAAUACUCGUUGCCAAAAAGAUUAGGUGUACACAUUUGUCCAUUUUUGACCAAGAUAGGGCCAUCCAUGGCUUGAGGCAUGACAUCUAUCAGUCGAGUAAUGCCAUCAAGUAGCCAUUUAGUUGAAUAAUGUCAUCUAUACGCUGAGUAAUGUCAAUAACAAGAUGAAUCAUGCUAGCUAUUAGUUCGGCGUAAUCUUAAGAUACCCACUUCCUCUUGCAGGCUUAGUGCUCUACAGGUCCCAAUACCUCCCAUACCGAACGGAUGAACAAGUUCGUACGCUAAGAAAAGACUUAAUUAUUCUUCUAAUGCUAACCGACAUCUUCAUUAUGCGUAUGCAGUUUGCUUGUCAUAGGAUGUAGAGAAGGUAAGAAGAGGCAAGGUUCCAAGAGGGUGUGUAAAUAUAUAGGAGCGGUAUGGAAUUUUGUGGGGGAGAAAUGAAAAAUAAGAGGGUGUGUAAGGAGAGCUGAUCUUAUGCAGAGUAAUGAAGGGAGAUUUGCAUUCAUAGGGAGUAAUGGCUGCAUUCAUAAGGAGUAAUGGCUGUUGGGGAAUCGGACUUCGUAAAGCACCCCUAUGUCUUUCUUCUACUCCAAUUUCUGACUCUUUUUCUUGGCUUGUUCAAGUGAUUGGUGACUUUGCAGGAGGAGUUAGUGCGUGCGGAAAGAUGGCUGCUGAUGUUCGCCAACUUGCUCGCGUUGCGAGCAAACUUAGCGCCCGAAGUCGACUAAAAGGAUGCGUUGAUUCUAAGGGGCAAUAGUCCACCCCGAGACGAGGAAGGUGAAGUACUUUUGAGGGGGAGACGCGAAGUCAAAGGUGAAGGAUCAGGAUGGGUGACUAGAGGGAGGAGGGAAGAAUGAGAGCUUUUAAAAUUCUCUCCGAGAAUAAGGCCUAUAUCCCUAUUGCCACCCCAAGUACACCUCGCUUAAAGGCUAAGGUGAAUUUGACGAAUUGCCUAAAAAUUGUGUCUGUACUUGUUACCCUCCGUGACAACCUUUUGUGGAAUUUGGCUCUUGAUGUAAAGACGCUAAGAUCAAUCAUGUUUGGUGGCCGGUUCAGAUCUAAUAAUUCUUAAGGUGGAAGAGACCGCCUCUCCACUUCGCUGCCGAAGAUAAGAUGACUAGCGAGCUUGUAUUGCUGUCCGCCUGUCCGGUGGGCUUUAUUUAGCAGGUCAAACGAACGUACUGCAUCUUCCUCCUGUUCGGACGUCAGAGCACAGAGAAGUACUGCAGUAUUGGAGAUUUGGAGUAGCAGUGGAGGACUGGAGGCCAAUACAUCUACAUCCUCGGCUUCAAGGCGGUCGGCGAUUCAUGUUGUUUUUUUUCUCCUUGUAUCCAAUCCAUGAUCGUAUCUGAAAAUGAUUUUGUUUGUAAGGAUGUUCCCAGAUUGUUUUUCUUGAAACUUUUUAGUUCUAUGCA